rnacentral:sRNA from 1 species
GAUCUAGUGUCCGAACUGUUACCGUAUGGUGGCUUUCUUAGACAAGCACUAAGAUAGGCACUAGGUCGAAA